AGCUCCAAUAGCGUGUGUUAAAGUUGUUGCAGUCAAAAAGCUCGUAGUUGGAUUUGUGGUUGUCGCUGGUCGUUCUUCACUCAGUGUUGAAUUGUACAAGCGUCGCCAUCCUUGGGUGGAUCCUGUGUGGCAUUAGGUUGUCGUGCAGGGGAUGCCCAUCGUUUGCUGUGAAAAAAUUAGAGUGUUCAAAGCAGGCUUAUGCCGUUGAAUGCAUUAGCAUGGAAUGAUAAGACAGGACCUUGGCACUAUUUUGUUGGUUUGCGCACCAAGGCAAUGAUUGAUAGGGACAGUUGGGGGCAUUCGUAUUCCAUUGUCAGAGGUGAAAUUCUUGGAUUUCUGGAAGACGAACCACUGCGAAAGCAUUCACCAAGGAUGUUUUCAUUAAUCAAGAACGAAAGUA
rnacentral:rRNA from 1 species